rnacentral:rRNA from 1 species
AGAGUUUGAUCCUGGCUCAGAGUGAACGCUGGCGGCAGGCCUAACACAUGCAAGUCGAACGGCAGCGGGCAGUAGCAAUACUGUGCCGGCGAGUGGCGGACGGGUGAGGAAUACAUCGGAAUCUACCUUGUCGUGGGGGAUAACGUAGGGAAACUUACGCUAAUACCGCAUACGACCCACGGGUGAAAGCGGCGGACCGCAAGGCGUCGCGCGAUUGGAUGAGCCGAUGUCCGAUUAGCUAGUUGGCGGGGUAAAGGCCCACCAAGGCGACGAUCGGUAGCUGGUCUGAGAGGAUGAUCAGCCACACUGGAACUGAGACACGGUCCAGACUCCUACGGGAGGCAGCAGUGGGGAAUAUUGGACAAUGGGCGCAAGCCUGAUCCAGCCAUGCCGCGUGUGUGAAGAAGGCCUUCGGGUUGUAAAGCACUUUUGUUGGGGAAGAAAAGACACCGGUUAAUACCCGGGGUUUCUGACGGUACCCAAAGAAUAAGCACCGGCUAACUUCGUGCCAGCAGCCGCGGUAAUACGAAGGGUGCAAGCGUUACUCGGAAUUACUGGGCGUAAAGCGUGCGUAGGUGGUUCGUUAAGUCAGAUGUGAAAGCCCCGGGCUCAACCUGGGAAUUGCAUUUGAUACUGGCGGGCUAGAGUGCGGUAGAGGAGAGU